AGCCCCGUAGUGUAGUGGUCAAUCAUGCCGGCCUUUGGAGCCGGCGACGCCAGUUCGAAUCUGGCCGGGGCUA
rnacentral:tRNA from 1 species